rnacentral:lncRNA from 1 species
GAAGUUUUCUGCUCCUGUCCUGUACUGGUUUUCACUAAGCCAACUGUGAGAUUUCUUUGUUGCAAUAUUGGGGUCUGAGAUAACACUGCUGGAGGCUGGAGGCAAGAAACAUAGCCGAAACCAUCUUUUAGUGUGUGCUGUUAUUUACUAGCGCUGUGAACCAAGGAAGCGAAAAAACAAAGAGCCCGAAGACUGCACAGUUCCAGCUUGUAGGCCCUGGAGACAGUCUGGAGUCCUCAGACGGACAGAAAGAAGACAUCAGAAGGGCAACCUGUGGUGCCUGUGGCUGCUGAGUACAGGCGUGGGUGACUGAUUUUUAAGAAAUCGGCAACACGGAAGCUGAUUAUAAAAUAUUCAUAAGAAGCUGGCUUUUACAGAGUCAGCUGCAUCUUCUCUGAACCUUGUCCCUGAGACAUGAUGGUGAAGGUUGGAAGAAAUGGAUUUGGCUGUAUUGGGUGCCUGGUUACCAAGACUUCCUUCAUGUUUGGCAAAGUGGAUGUUGUUGCCAUCAAUAACCCUUUAUAUUGACCUCAACUACAUGGUCUACAGGUUUCAGCAUGACUUUUCCCAUGGCAAGUUCCAUGGCACAGUCAUGACUGAGAAUAUAAAAAUUGUCAUCACCUGGAAGGCUGUCACCAUCUUCCAGGAGUGAGAUCACACUAACAUCAAGUAGAAUGGUGCUGGUGUCAACUAUGUUGUGGCGUCUACAGUUGUCAUCACCACCACAGAGAAGGCCAGUGCCCACUUGAAGGGUGGGGCCAAAGGGACAUCAUCUCUGCCCUUUUUGCUGGUGCUCCAUGUUUGUGAUGGGUGUGAAUUAUGAGAAGUAUGACAACUCAAUAUUCACAGCAAUGUUCCCUUACCACCUUCUGCUUGCUCCCCUGUCCAAUGUCAUGCCUGACAACUUUGGCAUCCUGGAGGGGCUCAUAACCAUACUUCAUGCCAUUACUCACACCCAGAUAGCCCCUCUGGGAAGCUGUAGUGUGAUGGCUGUGGGGCUGCUAAAACAUCCCUGCAUCCACUAGUGCUGCCAAGGCUGUAGUCAAGCUCAUCCCAGAGCUGAAUAGGAAGCUCACUAGCAUGCUUUUCUGUGUUCUAUCCCCAAUGUAUUCAUCAUGGAUCUGACAUGCUGCCUGGAGAAUCCUGCCAAGUAUGAUGACAUCAAGAAGGUGAUGAAGCAGACAUCCAAGGGCCCACAUAAUGGGCAGCCUGGGCUACACUGAGAACCAGGUUGUCUCCUGUGACUUUAACAGUGAUGCCCUCUCUCCCACCUUUGAUGCUGGGGUUGUCAUUGCUCUCGAUGACAACUUUGUAAAGCUCAUUUUCUGGUGUGACAAUGAAUAUGCUAUAGCAAUGGCGUGGUAGACCUCAUGGCUUACAUGACCUCCAAGGAGUAAGGAGCUUUGGACCACCAACUCCAGCAAAGAACAAGAGUGAGAGACUCUAAGCUGCUGAGGAGUCCCUAUCCAAACUCAGUCCCCUGACACUGAACAUCUCCCUUCACAGUUUCCAUCACAGACCCCCAGAAGAAGGGGAGGAGCUUAGGGAGCCCUACUCCCUUAAAUCCCAUUGGUAAAGUUCACCGCACCUGCAAAAAA